GUAUACGGCCAUAUCACCCUGAAUACGCCCGCUCUUUGUCUGAUGUUGGAAGCUAAGCAGGGUCGGGCCUGGUUAGUACUUGGAUGGGAGAUGGCUGGAAAAAAUGCCCAUUUCCU
rnacentral:rRNA from 1 species